CGUACGGCUCAGUAACACGUACCCUUCCUGCCCUGGAGACAUGGACAACCCCGGGAAACUGGGAUUAAUCCGUGAUAGGUCAUCCCAUCUGGAAGGAGGGAUGGCUUAAAGGGGCGCGCGGGCUUCUUCUGCGCGUCCGCUCCAGGAUGGGACUGCGUCCGAUCAGGCUGUUGGCGGGGUAAUGGCCCACCAAACCUGUAACCGGUACGGGCCUUGAGAGAGGUGGCCCGGAGAUGGACACUGAGAGAAGGGUCCAGGUCCUACGGGGCGCAGCAGGCGCGAAACCUUCGCAAUGCGCGAAAGCGUGACGAGGUUAAUCCGAGUGGCCUCCGCUGAGGAGGCCUUUUGUCAGCUGUAAAUAGGCGGGCGAAUAAGGGGAGGGCAAGCCUGGUGUCAGCCGCCGCGGUAAUACCAGCUCCUCGAGUGGUCGGGGCGAUUAUUGGGCCUAAAGCAUCCGUAGCCGGUUCCGUAGGUCCUCUGUUAAAUCCACCCGCUCAACGGGUGACCUGCAGAGGAUACCGCGGGACUAGGAGGCGGGAGAGGCGGACGGUACUCCGCGUGUAGGGGUAAAAUCCUUUGAUCCGCGGAAGA
rnacentral:rRNA from 1 species